rnacentral:lncRNA from 1 species
CCUCCCAUUAUCAUCACCAUCUCAUCAGUCAGCUUAAUGUCGGGCUCCCAGCCCAGAUUACCACCAGGUGAGCUCUCAAACAUGAAUCCAAAAUCAAUGUGAAUGAUGUGUCCCUUUUUGUCCAGCAUGAUGUUGCCAUUAUGCCUGUCUUUAAUUUGGAGCAGAAAAAGGAGAAGACUAUAUGCAGCCAUACUGCGGAUGAAAUUAUAGCGAGCCUUCUGGAAUGCAAGAGUAGACUCAUCACCGUAUUGCCUUGUAAAGUAAUCGUACAUCCCAAAGUCUGUCUGCCUGCCCAGCUGGUCACGGGACGUACAGUCAGGAAUGCAUUCAAUAACACCACACCCAGGAGCUGUCGCCACCACUCUAUAUGGAAACACAAAAAGGUCCAAGCCUACCAGCUGAAAUAUGUUCUUGAAGAGAUCAAUGAUUUGUAAAGCUAACAUGUCCUGUCUGCAGUCAUCACCC